GGGUUGUGAGGUUAAGCGACUAAGCGUACACGGUGGAUGCCCUGGCAGUCAGAGGCGAUGAAGGACGUGCUAAUCUGCGAAAAGCGUCGGUAAGGUGAUAUGAACCGUUAUAACCGGCGAUGUCCGAAUGGGGAAACCCAGUGUGAUUCGUCACACUAUCGUUAACUGAAUACAUAGGUUAACGAGGCGAACCGGGGGAACUGAAACAUCUAAGUACCCCGAGGAAAAGAAAUCAACCGAGAUUCCCCCAGUAGCGGCGAGCGAACGGGGAGCAGCCCAGAGUCUGAAUCAGCUUGUGUGUUAGUGGAACGGUCUGGAAAGUCCGACGGUACAGGGUGAUAGUCCCGUACACCAAAAUGCACAGGCUGUGAACUCGAAGAGUAGGGCGGGACACGUGGUAUCCUGUCUGAAUAUGGGGGGACCAUCCUCCAAGGCUAAAUACUCCUGACUGACCGAUAGUGAACCAGUACCGUGAGGGAAAGGCGAAAAGAACCCCGGCGAGGGGAGUGAAAAAGAACCUGAAACCGUGUACGUACAAGCAGUGGGAGCACCUUCGGGUGUGACUGCGUACCUUUUGUAUAAUGGGUCAGCGACUUAUAUUCUGUAGCAAGGUUAACCGUAUAGGGAGCCGCAGGAAACCGAGUCUUAACUGGGCGUUAAGUUGCAGGGUAUAGACCCGAAACCCGGUGAUCAGCCAUGGGCAGGUUGAAGGUUGGGUAACACUAACUGGAGGACCGAACCGACUAAUGUUGAAAAAUUAGCGGAUGACUUGUGGCUGGGGGUGAAAGGCCAAUCAAACCGGGAGAUAGCUGGUUCUCCCCGAAAGCUAUUUAGGUAGCGCCUCGUGAACUCAUCUUCGGGGGUAGAGCACUGUUUCGGCUAGGGGGUCAUCCCGACUUACCAACCCGAUGCAAACUACGAAUACCGAAGAAUGUUAUCACGGGAGACACACGGCGGGUGCUAACGUCCGUCGUGAAGAGGGAAACAACCCAGACCGCCAGCUAAGGUCCCAAAGUCAUGGUUAAGUGGGAAACGAUGUGGGAAGGCACAGACAGCCGGAUGUUGGCUUAGAAGCAGCCAUCAUUUAAAGAAAGCGUAAUAGCUCACUGGUCGAGUCGGCCUGCGCGGAAGAUGUAACGGGCUAAACCAUGCACCGAAGCUGCGGCAGCGACACUAUGUGUUGUUGGGUAGGGGAGCGUUCUGUAAGCCUGCGAAGGUGACCUGUGAGGGUUGCUGGAGGUAUCAGAAGUGCGAAUGCUGACAUAAGUAACGAUAAAGCGGGUGAAAAGCCCGCUCGCCGGAAGACCAAGGGUUCCUGUCCAACGUUAAUCGGGGCAGGGUGAGUCGACCCCUAAGGCGAGGCCGAAAGGCGUAGUCGAUGGGAAACAGGUUAAUAUUCCUGUACUUGGUGUUACUGCGAAGGGGGGACGGAGAAGGCUAUGUUAGCCGGGCGACGGUUGUCCCGGUUUAAGCAUGUAGGCUGAUUGUCCAGGCAAAUCCGGAUAAUCAAGGCUGAGGUGUGAUGACGAGGCACUACGGUGCUGAAGUAACAAAUGCCCUGCUUCCAGGAAAAGCCUCUAAGCAUCAGGUAACAUCAAAUCGUACCCCAAACCGACACAGGUGGUCAGGUAGAGAAUACCAAGGCGCUUGAGAGAACUCGGGUGAAGGAACUAGGCAAAAUGGUGCCGUAACUUCGGGAGAAGGCACGCUGGUGUGUAGGUGAAGCCCCUGCGGGUGGAGCUGAGACCAGUCGAAGAUACCAGCUGGCUGCAACUGUUUAUUAAAAACACAGCACUGUGCAAACACGAAAGUGGACGUAUACGGUGUGACGCCUGCCCGGUGCCGGAAGGUUAAUUGAUGGGGUUAUCCGUAAGGAGAAGCUCUUGAUCGAAGCCCCGGUAAACGGCGGCCGUAACUAUAACGGUCCUAAGGUAGCGAAAUUCCUUGUCGGGUAAGUUCCGACCUGCACGAAUGGCGUAAUGAUGGCCAGGCUGUCUCCACCCGAGACUCAGUGAAAUUGAACUCGCUGUGAAGAUGCAGUGUACCCGCGGCAAGACGGAAAGACCCCGUGAACCUUUACUAUAGCUUGACACUGAACAUUGAGCCUUGAUGUGUAGGAUAGGUGGGAGGCUUUGAAGCGUGGACGCCAGUCUGCGUGGAGCCAACCUUGAAAUACCACCCUUUAAUGUUUGAUGUUCUAACGUUGGCCCUUACCGGGGUUGCGGACAGUGUCUGGUGGGUAGUUUGACUGGGGCGGUCUCCUCCCAAAGCGUAACGGAGGAGCACGAAGGUUAGCUAAUCCUGGUCGGACAUCAGGAGGUUAGUGCAAUGGCAUAAGCUAGCUUGACUGCGAGCGUGACGGCGCGAGCAGGUGCGAAAGCAGGUCAUAGUGAUCCGGUGGUUCUGAAUGGAAGGGCCAUCGCUCAACGGAUAAAAGGUACUCCGGGGAUAACAGGCUGAUACCGCCCAAGAGUUCAUAUCGACGGCGGUGUUUGGCACCUCGAUGUCGGCUCAUCACAUCCUGGGGCUGAAGUAGGUCCCAAGGGUAUGGCUGUUCGCCAUUUAAAGUGGUACGCGAGCUGGGUUUAGAACGUCGUGAGACAGUUCGGUCCCUAUCUGCCGUGGGCGCUGGAGAAUUGAGGGGGGCUGCUCCUAGUACGAGAGGACCGGAGUGGACGCAUCACUGGUGUUCGGGUUGUCAUGCCAAUGGCACUGCCCGGUAGCUAAAUGCGGAAGAGAUAAGUGCUGAAAGCAUCUAAGCACGAAACUUGCCCCGAGAUGAGUUCUCCCUGAGACUUUAAGUCUCCUGAAGGAACGUUGAAGACGACGACGUUGAUAGGCCGGGUGUGUAAGCGCAGCGAUGCGUUGAGCUAACCGGUACUAAUGAACCGUGAGGCUUAACCUUACAACGCCGAAG
rnacentral:rRNA from 1 species